GACGAACGCUGGCGGCGUGCUUAACACAUGCAAGUCGAACGAAGUGGCGAACGGGUGAGUAACGAGUAAUCAACCUGCUCUUCAGAGGGGGACAACAGUUGGAAACGACUGCUAAUACCGCAUACUGAAGGAGGGGAUUGCGUGGGAUUAGCUAGUUGGAGGGGUAACGGCCCACCAAGGCGAAGAUCAGUAGCCGGGCUGGGGGGGUGGACGGGCAAAUUGGGACUGGGGAAAGGGCCAGACUCCUAAGGGGGGCAGCAGGGGGGAAUCUUCCGCAAAGGACGAAAGGCUGACGGAGCAACGCCGCGGGAGUGAUGACGGGCUUCGGGUUGUAAAGCUCUGUUAAUCGGGACGCGGUACCGGAAUAGAAAGCCACGGCUAACUACGUGCCAGCAGCCGCGGUAAUUC
rnacentral:rRNA from 1 species